rnacentral:lncRNA from 10 species
AGGUGGGAAAACUGGAAAGAUUGAAUGUCCUUUGGAGUUCACAGAGGUUUGGCAGUGGGAGGAGAAAAACAAAACGAAGCAUAGUGGGAGUGUUGAACAGACUUUCCCAAGAUCCCCAGAUCCUGAAAUUCAAGAAAAUAUUUGUCAAAGUAUUAGCUGAGUGCAAGCUAAGGUAUCAAAAUAGUGAAUACACACACCAAGGAAUAAUCUUUGCAAAAAUACUUUGUCUCAAGACAAAUAGAACACAGCAGACUUUAAUAAUCAAAACAGAAACACCAACAUAGAGAACCUAAGGAACGAAGAGAAUCUGAUUUCCAAAGUCACCACAUUAUAAAAAUCAAAUGCCAAUCUUCAACAACAACGAAAACAACAAAAUUCACAAGACACAUAAAGAAACAGGAAAAUGGCUCAUUCAAAGGAAUAAAGUGAUUAAUUGGCAUAAACUGUCCCUGAGAAAGCCCAGAUACUAAAGUGACUUGACAUUUGCUCAACUAGAUAAGAGUGAGUUUCGACAAAGAAGUAAAGGAAAUUUGGAACAUAAUAUUUUAUCUAAAGGAGAAUAUCAUCAAACAAAGAAAUUAUAUAAAAGAACCACACAAAAAUUCUGGAGCUGAAAAGUACAGCAACUGAAGUUUUUAAAAUUACUUGCAGAGAUCAACAACGGAUUUGCAGAUUAGUGAACUCGAAGAUAGGAAAAUUGAAAUUAUUGAGUCUGAGGAGCAGAAGAGAAAAAGGAAUGAAUAAAAGUGAAUAGAACCUAAGGAAACUGAGGGACACCAUCAAGCAGAUCAAGGAGAAGAGAGAGGUAAAAAAGAGUGGUAAGAUAAAUAAUAGCCAAAUACCUUCCAAAUAUGAAGAAAGACAUGAAUAUACAGAUAAAAUAAGCCCAGCAAUACCAAAUUGGAUAAACCCAAAAACAUCUACACCAAAGCACAUUAUAAUCAAAUUGUUGAAAGCCAAACAAUGACAGAAUCUUAAAAGCAAUAACAGCAAGGCAAUUCAACAAAAUAAAAGGGAUGUUCAAUACAAGUAUCAGCCAAUUUCUCAUCAGAAGCCUGGAGGCAAGAAGGCAGAGAAAUAAUAUAUUUAAAGUGCUGAAAAAAGCCAGGCACGGUGACUCAUGCCUGUAAUCCCUGCACUUUGGGAGUCUGAGAUGGGUGAAUCACUUGAGUCAGGAGUUUGAGACCAGCCUGGCAACCAUGGCAAAACUCUGUCUCUACUAAAGAUAGAAAAAUUAGUCGGGUGCAGUGGCAUGCACCUGUAGUCCCAGCUACUUGGGAGGCUGAGGCAGGAGAAUCACUUGAAUCUGGGAGGCAGAGGUUGCAGUGAGCUGAGAUCAUACCACUGCACUCCAGCCUGGGCAACAGAGUGAGACUCC